rnacentral:rRNA from 1 species
CCUACCAAGACUAUGAUGUGUAGCUGGACUGAGAGGUUGAACAGCCACAUUGGGACUGAGACACGGCCCAAACUCCUACGGGAGGCAGCAGUAGGGAAUUUUCGGCAAUGGAGGAAACUCUGACCGAGCAACGCCGCGUGAACGAUGAAGUACCUCGGUAUGUAAAGUUCUUUUAUUAAGGAAGAAAAAAGAGUGGAAAAACUCCCUUGACGGUACUUAAUGAAUAAGCCCYGGCUAAUUAUGUGCCAGCAGCCGCGGUAAUACAUAAGGGGCGAGCGUUAUCCGGAAUUAUUGGGCGUAAAGGGUGCGUAGGCGGUUUAAUAAGUCUAUAGUUUAAUUUCAGUGCUUAACGCUGUUGUGCUAUAGAAACUGUUUUACUAGAGUGAGUUAGAGGCAAGCGGAAUUCCAUGUGUAGCGGUAAAAUGCGUAAAUAUAUGGAGGAACACCAGAGGCGUAGGCGGCUUGCUGGGACUUUACUGACGCUGAGGCACGAAAGCGUGGGGAGCAAACAGGAUUAGAUACCCUGGUAGUCCACGCCGUAAACGAUGAGUACUAAGUGUCGGGUAAAACCGGUACUGAAGUUAACACAUUAAGUACUCCGCCUGAGUAGUACGUACGCAAGUAUGAAACUUAAAGGAAUUGACGGGACUCCGCACAAGCGGUGGAUCAUGUUGUUUAAUUCGAAGAUACACGAAAAACCUUACCAGGUCUUGACAUUUUCUUGCGAAGUUAUAGAAAUAUAAUAGAGGUUAUCAGGAAAACAGGUGGUGCAUGGUUGUCGUCAGCUCGUGUCGUGAGAUGUUAGGUUAAGUCCUAAAACGAGCGCAACCCUUGUCGUUAAUUGCCAGCAUGUAAUGAUGGGGACUUUAACGAGACUGCCAAUGAAAAAUUGGAGGAAGGUGGGGAUUACGUCAAAUCAUCAUGCCCCUUAUGAUCUGGGCUACAAACGUGAUACAAUGGUUGAUACAAAGAGUAGCUGAAACGCGAGUUCUUAGCCAAUCUCACAAAAUC